GAUACUCGAAGGAGAGGUUGUCCGUGUUGUCUUCUCUUUAUUUAUGAUGAAACAUACACGGGAAACCUCUUCUUUAGUAUC
ensembl:miRNA MIR494 microRNA 494